rnacentral:rRNA from 1 species
AAGUGGCGCACGGGUGAGUAACACGUAGGCAAUCUGCCUUUAGGACGGGAACAACCCCGAGAAAUCGAGGCUAAUACCCGGUAAUGCAGCGGCACCGCAUGGUGACAGUUGUUAAAUGCCCGCAAGGGCGCCUAGAGAUGAGCCUGCGCCCCAUUAGGUAGUUGGUGAGGUAACGGCCCACCAAGCCUACGAUGGGUAGCUGAUCUGAGAGGAUGAUCAGCCACACUGGAACUGAGACACGGUCCAGACUCCUACGGGAGGCAGCAGUGAGGAAUAUUGCGCAAUGGCCGAAAGGCUGACGCAGCGACGCCGCGUGAAGGAUGAAAUCCGUUAGGAUGUAAACUUCUUUUGCAGGGGAUGAAUGUUCCGGUUUCCGGAAUUGACCGUACCCUGCGAAUAAGGAUCGGCUAACUACGUGCCAGCAGCCGCGGUAAUACGUAGGAUCCGAGCGUUGUCCGGAUUUACUGGGUGUAAAGGGCGUGUAGGUGGGUCUCUAAGUCGGUGGUGAAAUCCUGCAGCUUAACUGCAGAACUGCCAUUGAUACUGGAGGUCUUGAGUACGGCAGAGGGAGAUGGAAUUCAUGGUGUAGCGGUGAAAUGUGUAGGUAUCAUGAAGAACACCGGUAGCGAAGGCGGUCUCCUGGUCCGUAAC